rnacentral:rRNA from 1 species
AAUGAACGCUGGCGGCAGGCCUAACACAUGCAAGUCGAACGGGUCCUUCGGGACUAGUGGCGGACGGGUGAGUAACGCGUGGGAACGUGCCCCUUGGUACGGGAUAGCCCCGGGAAACUGGGAGUAAUACCGUAUGUGGUCGAGAGACGAAAGAUUUAUCGCCAAGGGAUCGGCCCGCGUUGGAUUAGGUAGUUGGUGGGGUAAUGGCCUACCAAGCCGACGAUCCAUAGCUGGUUUGAGAGGAUGAUCAGCCACACUGGGACUGAGACACGGCCCAGACUCCUACGGGAGGCAGCAGUGGGGAAUCUUAGACAAUGGGGGAAACCCUGAUCUAGCCAUGCCGCGUGAUCGAUGAAGGCCUUAGGGUUGUAAAGAUCUUUCAGGUGGGAAGAUAAUGACUGUACCACCAGAAGAAGCCCCGGCUAACUCCGUG